AUUGAACGCUGGCGGCAGGCCUAACACAUGCAAGUCGAGCGGUAGAGAGAAGCUUGCUUCUCUUGAGAGCGGCGGACGGGUGAGUAAUGCCUAGGAAUCUGCCUGGUAGUGGGGGAUAACGCUCGGAAACGGACGCUAAUACCGCAUACGUCCUAUGGGAGAAAGCAGGGGACCUUCGGGCCUUGCGCUAUCAAAUGAGCCUAGGUCGGAUUAGCUAGUUGGUGAGGUAAUGGCUCACCAAGGCGACGAUCCGUAACUGGUCUGAAAGGAUGAUCAGUCCCACUGGAACUGAAACACGGUCCAAACUCCUACGGGAGGCAGCAGUGGGGAAUAUUGGACAAUGGGCGAAAGCCUGAUCCAGCCAUGCCGCGUGUGUGAAAAAGGUCUUCGGAUUGUAAAGCACUUUAAGUUGGGAGGAAGGGCAGUUACCUAAUACGUAUCUGUUUUGACGUUACCGACAGAAUAAGCACCGGCUAACUCUGUG
rnacentral:rRNA from 1 species